ACAACAGAGUAAACAAAGAAA
rnacentral:snRNA from 1 species